rnacentral:rRNA from 1 species
UACAGAGGUGGCAAGCGUUGUUCGGAAUUACUGGGCGUAAAGGGCGCGUAGGCGGUCCUCUAAGUCUUGUGUGAAAUCCCUCGGCUCAACUGAGGAACUGCACGGGAUACUGGAAGACUUGAGUUCGGGAGAGGGAAGCGGAAUUCCGGGUGUAGCGGUGAAAUGCGUAGAUAUCCGGAGGAACACCGGUGGCGAAGGCGG